rnacentral:lncRNA from 1 species
GGGCAGUAGUGGCGGGGGCUUGGUAGAAGUCCGUACCGGACUAGGGGAUCCAGUUCUGAGAGGAAGACUAAGGCGGCGGGGCUUACCCUGUGAAGGUAAGGUCACUCCCCUCCUUUUCCCAAACCCGGCGUGUUCGCUGUCCUUUUCCCUCCCGAACCCUGGACCCCCCGCAGCUCCCUUAAGCUGGGCGGAAGGAGAAAGAGCCCCGGACUAGAAGUCAUGGGAUCUGAGCCGAACAGUGGCAGGGAUCUUACAGCGACAUUGCUGUUAUGACCUUAGGGCAGGGUGCUCGGUGCCUCAGUUUCCCCAUCUACGCAAAGGACCGCGUGUCCAGUGUCUCCAUAUGCGCUUUUUCAAGGUUUUAAAUCUCUGAAAUCAUCGAGUCUGAUCCGGGUCUCUUCGUAAUAAACUGAUCUGCAGGCAAGAAGACAGAAGAACUAGCCACUUGGGUGACUAGUCCGAGGUCACACAGAGUGAAGAGCAGACCUGGUCCUUUGUAUCAGGGUUUAGAGAGCUGAUGAGUGAGGAAGCCUGGCCCUUAACUAGACUGUGUGGCAUAGGACUUGGGAAAGGACCCUGUUUCUAAAGUCCAGAUAAGAGAGGUCCAGAAGAGCUGGGAUAUUCGGGAGGGUGGAUGAUGGACGAGACUUUGAAGGUAGAAAGUCCUCAAUCCAGUUUUGCUGAGCUGAGUUUUGUUGCCAAGGUUUUAAGUCAACAUUGGUUGUCGCUGACUUUUCUGCCUCCAGUUUUCGCCCACUCUGUUGCAUGUCUUUCUUCUUUUUUUUUUUUUUUUUUUUGAACGAUCUUGCUUAGCCACGCUGUGGCUAAGCAGAUAGUGUGUCCCAGUGUCCAUUUCCACAGUUCUCAUUGGAGUUCUUUCUGGUUUUCUUCCCAGUCAGGUUGAUCCUGUAAGUGUCCCUUUCCGGAAUGUUUUAGUCUCUUCUGAUGAUACUAAAGAGAUUGGAAGCUCUCUCCCAGAGAACUUUGUACCUCUUGGCACUUCCCCUGUGGGGCUUUUUAUUACAGUUUUUGAACUACUAACUUGUAAGUCUUCUUGCCCACAGUGGAUUCUCAUUAAUUUUUUAUUAGAUUGAAUAAUAUAACUUAGCUUUGUUCCCUUGUUCCUUAAUUUACUCUCGGUUUUUUUUUUCCCCCGUGCGACCCAAAGAGCCAAGCAGUGGCUCUUGUCUUUUAUAGGUAGCUUCCAGAAAGAUAAAAAUGCUGUACUGGCUGUGAACUGUCUGGGUUGCUUGGUCUCUUUUGUUCAUUGAAGGUGACUGUACUAUUGUCUAAAACUCCAGGGGAGGGGGAAGGGGAAAUAGUGUAGUUAGAAAUAUUAUAUGUUACUUACAAUUUUUGUGAGUAAAUUAUUCCUGUUUAUCUGAGGAUAAGGCUGCUGGCCUGCUUCCUGUGUUUAUUUUACAGAUUAAGAUGGUUAGAACAGUGAAAUCUGACUGGUAAAGCAGUGAUACACUGGAAUCUGGGUGGUAGGACUGGAGCCUGUAGCAGUAGCUCUGUUUAACUUGUGAAAUUGAGUGGGUAGGAAUGAAUGGAUAAGUUUAUUCCAGGAACGCUUUCUUUAUUUUUAUUUUCUUUCUUUUAUUUUUGUUUAUUUAUUUAUUUAUUUUUGAGAUGAUCUAUUUAUGUAGCUCUGGCUGUCCUAAAACUCAUUAUGUAGACCAGGCUAUCCUGGAAUCUCACAGAAUUACACCUGCCUAUGCCUCUCCAGUGCUGGGAUUGAAGACUAUAUCACUAUACUGGAUUUUAACAAUUCUUU